UGCAAGUCGAGCGGACAGAUGGGAGCUUGCUCCCUGAUGUUAGCGGCGGACGGGUGAGUAACACGUGGGUAACCUGCCUGUAAGACUGGGAUAACUCCGGGAAACCGGGGCUAAUACCGGAUGCUUGUUUGAACCGCAUGGUUCAAACAUAAAAGGUGGCUUCGGCUACCACUUACAGAUGGACCCGCGGCGCAUUAGCUAGUUGGUGAGGUAAUGGCUCACCAAGGCAACGAUGCGUAGCCGACCUGAGAGGGUGAUCGGCCACACUGGGACUGAGACACGGCCCAGACUCCUACGGGAGGCAGCAGUAGGGAAUCUUCCGCAAUGGACGAAAGUCUGACGGAGCAACGCCGCGUGAGUGAUGAAGGUUUUCGGAUCGUAAAGCUCUGUUGUUAGGGAAGAACAAGUACCGUUCGAAUAGGGCGGUACCUUGACGGUACCUAACCAGAAAGCCACGGCUAACUACGUGCCAGCAGCCGCGGUAAUACGUAGGUGGCAAGCGUUGUCCGGAAUUAUUGGGCGUAAAGGGCUCGCAGGCGGUUCCUUAAGUCUGAUGUGAAAGCCCCCGGCUCAACCGGGGAGGGUCAUUGGAAACUGGGGAACUUGAGUGCAGAAGAGGAGAGUGGAAUUCCACGUGUAGCGGUGAAAUGCGUAGAGAUGUGGAGGAACACCAGUGGCGAAGGCGACUCUCUGGUCUGUAACUGACGCUGAGGAGCGAAAGCGUGGGGAGCGAACAGGAUUAGAUACCCUGGUAGUCCACGCC
rnacentral:rRNA from 1 species